CGAUAAGAAUCUACCAGCAUUAUGCGAUGCUCACUCUAGGGAGUCUCAGAGUCCGGAGUACACAAUGCUGAUGUCUUUUGCAUAAUGAAUAAGGAAACCUAAUGGGUUUACAUCUGGAGACAUGGCCACCAUAAUACUUUAAGCAGACGGAAGAUGAGAGGAGGAGAUGGAAGACCUUAACUAUCACAUAAAGUAACAAAAUGAAUUAGGCUCCGACAUGAUGAUGGGCCCCUAUCAGUGAAACUUCCACUUCCAGUGGAAGCGCGGAAGUAAUUGAGUUAAAUAUGCACAAGAUGACAGCAUUAAUUAUGCGCAGACCGAGUCAAAGGAAGGGAGAGGGAAACGACGGGAAUAAUGAGGGAAAAGAGUUAAAUGUGGUUUUUUGUUGUGGCAACCAUAUGCCGAAAGUAUAUAAAAAUGCAACAAAAAGAUAAGUAUAAUAAUAAAAUGAACCCAGUUACAGUUUCAGACCAAA